rnacentral:tRNA from 1 species
UCCCCUGUAGCACAAACGGUAGUUGCGCGCGGCUGUUAACCGCGAUGUUGUUGGUUCGAGUCCAGCCAGGGGAG